rnacentral:rRNA from 1 species
UACGUAGGGUGCAGGCGUUAAUCGGAAUUACUGGGCGUAAAGCGUGCGCAGGCGGUCUUUUAAGUCAGAUGUGAAAUCCCCGGGCUUAACCUGGGAACUGCGUUUGAAACUGGAAAGGCUUGAGUGUGGCAGAGGGGGGGUGGAAUUCCGACGUGUAGGCAGGUGAAAAUGCGUAGAGAUGUGGAGGAACACCGAUGGCGAAGGCAGCCCCCCUGGGCUAACACUGACGCUCAUGCACGAAAGCGUGGGGAGCAAACA